UAAAUCUAUUGAACAUCGUGUU
rnacentral:siRNA from 1 species